rnacentral:rRNA from 1 species
GACAGAGGGUGCAAACGUUGCUCGGAAUCACUGGGCGUAAAGGGCGUGUAGGCGGGAAGGCAAGUCAGAUGUGAAAUCCCUGGGCUCAACCCAGGAACUGCAUUUGAAACUCCCUUUCUUGAGUGUCGGAGAGGAAAGUGGAAUUCCUGGUGUAGAGGUGAAAUUCGUAGAUAUCAGGAGGAACACCAAUGGCGAAGGCAGCACUCUGGGACGUGACUGACGCUGAGACGCGAAAGCGUGGGGAGCAAACAGG